UACGUAGGGGGCGAGCGUUGUCCGGAUUUAUUGGGCGUAAAGAGCUCGUAGGCGGUUCAGUAAGUCAGAUGUGAAAACUCGGGGCUCAACCCAGAGACUGCAUUUGAUACUGCUGUGACUAGAGGUUGGUAGGGGAUCACGGAAUUCCUGGUGUAGCGGUGGAAUGCGCAGAUAUCAGGAGGAACACCGAUGGCGAAGGCAGUGAUCUGGGCCAAUUCUGACGCUGAGGAGCGAAAGCGUGGGUAGCAAACAGG
rnacentral:rRNA from 1 species